rnacentral:misc_RNA from 1 species
AAGAUAUGGGUCAUGUGGAAAUCAACGCCGCUGAAAUUCAACAUUCUGGCCCUUUUUGAGACGAUUUGUUCGUCUUCUUCGAUGAUAUACUCAUCUAUAGCAACACUUGGUCAGAUCAUCUUCAUCACCUAGAACUUGUCUUGCUCACAUUGCGGCAACAUCAAUUUACUGCUAACAAAAACAAAAUGUUCUCUGGAUCGUCGUACUAUUGAAUAUUUGGGGCAUGUUAUUUCCCAGUCUGGAGUUGCCAUGGAUCCAACCAAAAUUUCAGCAGUUGUUAGAUGGCCUACUCCAAAAACUGUUAGAGCAGUUCGUGGAUUUUUGGGAUUGACAGGCUAUCACCACCGAUUUAUUCAAGGGUAUGGCAAGAUAGCCAAGCCACAUACUGCCCUCACUACUAAGGAAGCACAACAAAAUUUUUUUUGGUCUAAUGAAGCUCAAAAUGCUUUUGAUACACUCGAGCAAACUAUGGUCUCAACUCCUCUUCUUCUUUCGCCUAAUUUUCAAAAAUCUUUCGAAAUUGAGUGCGAUGCUUCAGGUGCAGGUGUGGGUGCAGUACUUAUGCAGGAAGGGCGACCUAUGGCCUAUUUCAGUAAAUCUCUAACCCCUCAGACCUUAUCUCUCUCAGCUUAUGAAAAAGAGUUAAUGGCAUUGGUGUUAGCUAUUCAUCAUUGGCGACCCUAUCUUCUCGGCAAGAAAUUUCUAGUUUGAACUGAUCAAAGAAGCCUCAAACACUUAUUAGAACAACAGAUUGUUACCACUGCACAGCAAUGUUGGCUCUCUGAAUUACUGGGUUAUCGUUUCAACAUUGAAUAUGAGCCUUGAAAAAGCAAUACAGAAGCUGAUGCCUUAUCUAGGCGUAUGGAAGAUGAGUCACUUCAACUUUCAGCCAUGAGCCGUCCUCAAAGGAUGGAUUUGGAUAAUUUAGCAGAGGAAGUUCAAGCUUAUCCAUAUUUGAGACCUAUUCUUGUUGCUCUUCAUCCAGAUCCUAAUGCUCACCCUCCUUUCUCUAUCAUUCAAGAGAAUUUAUUUUACAAAGGGCGAUUGGUGGUGCCAACUAAUUCUCCUUGGAUUCCAUGAUUGAUGACAGAAUUCCAUUCUACUCCUACAGGGGGGCAUUCAGGUGCUUUUCGCACUCAUAGAAGGAUAGCUUCAGGCUUAUAUUGGAAGGGCAUGAUGAAAUCUAUUCGAAAAUUUGUUGCUUCCUGCCUUACUUGCCAACGACAUAAAUAUGAAGUCUUAUCACCGGUUGGUCUCCUCCAACCAUUGCCAAUUCCACAAGGGAUAUGGAAGGAUCUUUCACUUGACUUCAUAACUAGAUUACCUAAAUCUCAUGGCAUGAAUUGUAUUUUGGUACUGGUUGAUCGUCUCUCCAAAUAUGGACUUUGCCUCUUUGCCAUCCUUUUACAGCCUGUAGUGUUACUGAAUUGUUUGUUCAGGAAAUUGUAAAACUCCAUGGCAUUCCUCGAUCAUUAGUUAGUGAUUGCGAUCCCAUUUUUAUUAGUCAUUUUUGGAUUGAAAUUUUCAGAUUAAUGGGGACUCAACUUCGAAUGAGUUCAGCUUAUCAUCCCAAACUGACGGUCAAACAGAAGACUUAAAUAGAAGUGUUGAGCAAUACCUUCGUUGUUUUGCAUCUGAACAGUCCAAAAUUUGGGUUAAUUGGUUACAUUGGGCUAAAAACUAGUACAACACCAGCUUUCAAGGGGCAGCCAAACAAACACCAUAUCAGCUUGUCUAUGGUAAACAACACCUACUCUACUAAGGUUUUUACUGGGAGAAACUAGAGUGGAAGUUGUCUCUAAUGCCUUGCUUGAUAGAGAUGAGAUAUUAAAGCAAUUGAAAUUUAAUAUUGAGUAAGCUCAGCACCAUAUGGCCAAACAAGCUAACGCCAAGAGGAGGAAUGUCGCUUAUCAAAUUGGGGACAAAGUCUUCCCAAAACUUCAACCUUACAAGCAGCAAACAAUUCACUCUUAGGCUAGUCCAAAGUUAGCACCUCGCUUUUAUGGGCCCUUUUGACAAGAUAGGUGAGGUAGCUUAUCGUCUUCAACUUCCUUCUACUGCUAAAAUACAUCCUGUAUUCCAUGUGUCUCAACUGAAGAAGGUUGUGGGAAAUCAUGAUAUUAUACCAUCCCUCCCUACUGAAAUGGUUAUUGAGGAACCUCUUCCCACUCUUCCUAAAGCUAUAAUAGCACGACGGACUGUUGCAAGGACGGGAACUCAAUUCCAUAAUUGUUGAUUCAAUGGCAAGGGCACCCACUUGAUGAAGCUACUUGGUUGGAUGAAUCUGACUUUCAAGGUCAAUUUCCAGAUUUUAGCCUUGAGGAAAAGGCUGCUAUUUCAGGAGGUGAUAAUGAUGCAGAAGAAUUUCCACCUGAGCCUAAAGGAA